GCGAGUCGAAUGUAGCAAUACAUGGCGAACUGCUCAGUAACACGUGGACAACCUGCCCUUAGGACGGGGAUAAACCCGGGAAACUGGGUAUAAUACCCGAUAGGUCUCGAUUGCUGGAAUGCAUCGAGAUUUAAAGCUCCGGCGCCUAAGGAUGGGUCUGCGGCCUAUCAGGUAGUAGUGGGUGUAGCGUACCUACUAGCCUACGACGGGUACGGGUUGUGAGAGCAAGAGCCCGGAGAUGGAUUCUGAGACACGAAUCCAGGCCCUACGGGGUGCAGCAGGCGCGAAAACUUUACAAUGCUGGCAACAGCGAUAAGGGAACCUCGAGUGCCAGGUUACAAAUCUGGCUGUCGAGAUGCCUAAAAAGCAUUUCAUAGCAAGGGCCGGGCAAGACCGGUGCCAGCCGCCGCGGUAACACCGGCGGCUCGAGUGGUAACCGUUAUUAUUGGGUCUAAAGGGUCUGUAGCCGGCCGGAUAAGUCUCUUGAGAAAUCUGGCAGCUUAACUGUCAGGCUUUCAGGAGAUACUGUCUGGCUCGAGGCCGGGAGAGGUGAGAGGUACUUCAGGGGUAGGGGUGAAAUCUUGUAAUCCUUGAAGGACCACCAGUGGCGAAGGCGUCUCACCAGAACGGACCUGACGGCAAGGGACGAAAGCUAGGGGCACGAACCGGAUUAGAUACCCGGGUAGUCCUAGCCGUAAACGAUACUCGCUAGGUGUCGGCCACGGUGCGACCGUUGUCGGUGCCGUAGGGAAGCCGUGAAGCGAGCCACCUGGGAAGUACGGCCGCAAGGCUGAAACUUAAAGGAAUUGGCGGGGGAGCACCACAAC
rnacentral:rRNA from 1 species